rnacentral:rRNA from 1 species
GCAUAACGCGAAGAACCUUACCCACCUUUGUACAUGUACGGAAUCCUUUAGAGAUAGAGGAGUGCUCGAAAGAGAGCCGUAACACAGGUGCUGCACGGCUGUCGUCAGCUCGUGUCGUGAGAUGUUGGGUUAAGUCCCGCAACGAGCGCAACCCUUGCCAUUAGUUGCUACGAAAGGGCACUCUAAUGGGACUGCCGGUGACAAACCGGAGGAAGGUGGGGAUGGACGUCAAGUCCUCAUGGCCCUUAUAGGUGGGGCUACGACACGUCAUACAAUGGCUGGUACAGAGGGUUGCCAAACCCGGCAGGGGGAGCGUAAUCCCACUAAAGACCAGUACGUAGUCCGGAUCGCAGUCUGCAACUCGACUGCGUGAAGUCGGAAUCGCUAG